ACGCUCGACACCUACGGGAGGCAGCAGUGGGGAAUAUUGCACAAUGGGGGAAACCCUGAUGCAGCGACGCCGCGUGAAGGAAGAAGUAUUUCGGUAUGUAAACUUCUAUCAGCAGGGAAGAAACUGACGGUACCUGACUAAGAAGCACCGGCUAAAUACGUUCCAGCAGCCGCGGUAAUCUGAGCGGGCUGGCAAGGC
rnacentral:rRNA from 1 species